AGAGUUUGAUCCUGGCUCAGGAUGAACGCUGGCGGCGUGCUUAAUACAUGCAAGUCGAACGGAGAGUUUUGUAGCAAUACGAAGCUUCUCAGUGGCGAACGGGUGAGUAACGCGUUGGUGACCUGCCCCGAAGUGUGGGAUAACAGUCCGAAAGGAUUGCUAAUACCGCAUGUGGUCAUUGGAUUUAGAAACCGAUGAUUAAAGGAGUAAUUCGCUUCGGGAGGGACUUGCGUCCCAUCAGCUAGUUGGUGAGGUAAUGGCCCACCAAGGCGUCGACGGGUAAGGGACCUGAGAGGGUGGUCCCUCACAAUGGCACUGAAACACGGGCCAUACACCUACGGGUGGCAGCAGUAGGGAAUAUUGGGCAAUGGGCGAAAGCCUGACCCAGCAACGCCGCGUGCACGAUGAAGGCCUUCGGGUCGUAAAGUGCUUUUCUGGGAGAUGAGAAAGGACAGUAUCCCAGGAAUAAGCCUCGGCUAACUACGUGCCAGCAGCCGCGGUAAAACGUAGGAGGCAAGCGUUAUCCGGAUUUACUGGGCGUAAAGCGCGUGUAGGCGGUUCGGCAAGUUGGAUGUGAAAUCUCCCGGCUCAACUGGGAGGGGUCGUUCAAUACUACCAAACUUGAGGGCAUCAGAGGAAGGUGGAAUUCCCGGUGUAGUGGUGAAAUGCGUAGAUAUCGGGAGGAACACCAGUGGCGAAGGCGGCCUUCUGGGAUGCAUCUGACGCUCAGACGCGAAAGCUAGGGGAGCGAACGGGAUUAGAGACCCCGGUAGUCCUAGCAGUAAACUAUGUAGACUUGGUGUCGGAGGUGUCAAAACCUUCGGUAUCGUAGCUAACGCGAUAAGUCUACCGCCUGGGGACUACGGCCGCAAGGUUAAAACUCAAAGGAAUUGACGGGGGCCCGCACAAGCAGCGGAGCGUGUGGUUUAAUUCGAUCUACACGAAGAACCUUACCCGGGUUUGACAUGUUGGUGGUAGGGAUCCGAAAGGUGACCGACCCGCAAGGGAGCCUUCACAGGUGCUGCAUGGCUGUCGUCAGCUCGUGUCGUGAGAUGUUCGGUUAAGUCCGCUAACGAGCGCAACCCUCGCCACGUGUUACAUGUGUCACGUGGGACCGCCGGUAUCAAGCCGGAGGAAGGUGGGGAUGACGUCAAGUCAGCAUGGCCUUUAUGUCCGGGGCUACACACACGCUACAAUGGUCGGUACAAUGGGUCGCUAAGCGCGAGGUAGAGCCAAUCCCCAAAGCCGGCCUCAGUUCAGAUCACAGGCUGCAACCCGCCUGUGUGAAGUCGGAGUUGCUAGUAAACGCGCGUCAGCUAUAGUGCGUUGAAUACGUUCUCGGGCCUUGUACACACCGCCCGUCACGUCAUGGGAGCUGGUAACACCUGAAGCCGGUAGCCUAACCGCAAGGAGGGCGCUGUCGAAGGUGGUGCUGGUGACUGGGACGAAGUCGUAACAAGGUA
rnacentral:rRNA from 1 species